GUGGAAAGAAACCGAAGGAAUCGUAGCCCACAUGUUCUUGUUUCCUUGCUCCCACUCCCCUCUCUAUGUGGUGGUGCACAGCCCUUCUUUCCACAGCGCAAAGUCCAUCAGAACUUCACCUAAAUAGUCUUUCUUUUGUGCAUAACAUCAUGGUGAGGUUGAUUCUCUACCCUGUCAGCAUUCACCUGUUUCCCUCCACAGAUGCUGCCUGACCAGCUGAGUUCCUCCAGCACUUUGUGUUUUACUCAACAUGCAUAGCAUGAGUUCUCCCAACUGUGGGCCUUGGAUAUUGAUCAGAACUGAAAGCCCUGGGGCUUAUGCCUCCUUCCCUACUCCGAUAAUGGAUUUAACUGAGUUGGGAAUUAGGUUAGAUUCAUGAGGGUUUUUAAAAUGAUCAGGUCAUAUAUUUAUAAAGAAGUUGCUGAAAUGUUUUGGAUGAAGAAUACACUCCCUUGUUCUUAAACCUGAGCAGACUGUGCGUAACCCACACCACUUAAUCAUGAAACGUGCUUGCAACAAAUUUUCUUACAGCUGAAACCACACUGGAUGAUCGCCAGCAGCAUUUCUGUGGACAAUGCAGUGAAAAAUAAUGUUUGUCAUUUCAAUAGUUCAGUUGAAGAAUAGAAUAUUGUGUAAAUCUCGGUGCAAAACUGUACAGAAUUAAAAUGGUGGAAAAAGCCCACUGGCCGAGCAGCAUCUGUGGAGAGAGAGAGAGAGAGAGAGAAAAUACGGGAACGUUGUUACGGGUUGAUGACCUUCCAUUAAGAAUUUGUAGCAUCUUAUUUGUGACAUUUAAGAUCGCAUUUCACAUCCAGAUCUUUGUGGUGCAUUACCAAAUCAUAGUAUCAUAAUAGGGUUUUUUUUUUUCCAUGGAAUUGGAAUUUUUUCCAGAAAAGAUGCAAGAGAUUGAAUUAGAAUUAAAAUUAGAAUUACCUUUAUUGUCAUUCAGACUUUACGGUCUGAACGAAAUUUCGUGCCUGCAGUCAUACAUACAAUGAUACAAUAAUAAACACAAAUUAACAUCCACCACAGUGAGUCCUCCAAGUAUCUCCUCACUGUGGUGGAGGCAAAAAUCUUAGGGCUGCAGUCUCUUCCCUCCUCUUCUCCCUCUGCGUUGAGGCGAUACCCCACCGGGCGAUGGUACAAACAUUGCAUUGCAAGAAGUGAACUGGACGAAUGUAUCUGGGGAAAAUCAGUGUUUCCAAACCAGGAGCAUUUCUGUGCACCUCCAUAAACCUGUGCUCCCUUAUUAUUCACCUUUUCAAUGCAGGAUCAGUGUCUCCUGCGGCAUUAGUGUCUGCAGAGAAUGUUAUUUUGGCCUACAAGUGGGAUGAGAUUGGCACACUGGGGCAUAAGCACCAUGGAGGGGGCUUGACGAUGGAUCAAUAGUUAAAUGAGAUGACUUGUGAGUGAAUGUGUUGACAUUGCCAAACAUCAUGGCCCCCAACAUGGAGCCAGAACAACAACAUUGGACCCUGAAAUGUAACGGCAAAGUUUGAAGGAAAAGCAAAAUACAAUGGAGACACAAGAAACUGCAGAUGCGGGAAUGUUGAGUAAAACACAAAGUGCUGGAGGAACUCAGCAGGUCGGGCAGCAUGUUUUGAAGGAAUGAACAGGCGAUGUUUUGGGUCAGGACUCGGAUUUGACAAGUCUGAAGAAAGGACCUCGACCCAAAACGUCGCCUAUUCAUUCCCUGCAUGGUUGCUGCCUGACCCGCUGAGUUCCCCCAGCACUUUCUGUUUUGCUCGAGUAUAAUGCAAUGCUCUGUCUUCACCACGAAAAUGAAAUCUCGUAAACAUAAGAAUCGACUUCCCUCUAUCCUUGUGAAAAGCAAGGAAAAAACUGCAGCUGCUGGUAAUGCUGGGCAGGUCUGGCAGCAUCAAUAGUGAGAGAAACAGUUAACACUUUCUCCAUAGAUGCUGCCUGACCUGCUGAGCGUACCCAGUAUUUUCUCCAUGUAUUUUUGCUGUAGAAUUGUGUCAAGAGCUAACUUGCCAACAAUGUGCCAUUUAUUCAUUGCAUCGUAUUCAUUGACGUAUGAGUUUUAUUUUCUGUUUUAAGAACGUUUUUCUUUUGUGAUUCGCUCAGUGGUUUUGUAUGAAAUUGAAUGUGUUUUUCUCAUUAAUGUAAUACUGAAUUUUGUUUAGUUUUUUUUAAUUUCCGUGAAAUCAAUGUGAACUUAAAGUGCAGCAGUUAUUUCCUCACAGAAUCAAAAUCAUAUUUAUUCCAACUGUAGUCCAAACCUUUCUUUCGUGGAAAUGUUUAUUCUCCUUUGCCAUUUAGUUGUGAAGAUUUGAAAUUUCAUUUAAAGAGAUAUUAAUUGUAAUAUCCUUAAAACCAUAAUAAAAUGCAUUGAAACAUGU